CCAGCUGCCCUCGGCGCACGGCGAGACCAGCAGUGAGCGCCCAUGACCCGCGGGGGCGGCUUCCCCCCCCCCAUUUCAGAAGCAUCAAAGCAUCGCGUACUUUGACAAGCACGGAAGAGUUGUACCCCUCAAAAGGGACUGAGUCGCUGCCUUGGAAAGCUAUCAAAGCUAUACUAGGCAAAGGGUCACAACAGAGACAACUGGAGACCUUUCACCAAAUUAUCCAAUUCAGCUUUUCUCAGAAGCCAGGGAAACCUGCAGUUCUUAUAAGACGAUGUAACGAGCCUCCAGCACCGUGAGAGAACAAAAUUUCGUUGUUUCAAACUACUUGGUUUGUGGCUGCUUUGGAAGCCCUGGGACACCAACGCAGAGAGUAAACGUACAACUGAGUCAGGGUCGGCAGCUGAUGUGCGCAGGCACUGAGGUGUGGGCUUCCUGCCCCUCAA